UCACAAAAUCACAAAUACAUAUGUGUAAAGUAUCCAAAAGAAAAUGAGGCUCACAUACACAAAACGACCGAUCGGAUCGUCACAACAAGUGUCAAACCAUCCUAGAAAUCUUGAAGUUGCAUCAACUGAUCCAUUCCAUUGUGUUGGCAUCGUCUCAACAUCUCCUUAAAAGCCUCACAUGCUUAGAAAAUCACUUUCACUUCUUCUCAUCGAAAUUGUGGAUUUUUCUCCAAAAUUUCUCUAUUUUUACGAUAGAGAACUAUUUGUCAAGGAAUUUUCUUCCAUGUCCGGAUUGACCGGUCGGUAGAAUUCACAACCGGUGCUUAACAUAAUCUUUCAGUGAAAAUGAAAAUUUCUUUAAAUAGAUAGCAUCAGUUGAUGCCAUAUUAUACUGGAAGGUACUCAUGAUCUCAUCGAUGUCCAACAAGUAGUAUCUGGAUCUUCGUUGAGUUUACCUCGGAAGAUGCAAUUAUUUUGAAUGAUCUGAAGCAGUCCCUGCUUUAUUUCAAAGUUUUUCGCUGCAAUGGGUGAAGGUCUCACACUAGAUAGUCCUUGGUUGUAAACUGACCCAGCAUAGUCUCCCAGUGAUCGUCCAGGCCUUGGUCCAGUAUUAUCAAACUGAUCUUCAAUCAGUCGUUGGUUCUGAUUAAGCCCCCGAUUUCCAUCUCCAUCUAUAGUUUCUUCAUGCUAAGCCAACAUUUUAGAGGAUUGACUUAUUUUGUUGUCUACCAACUUUGUUUGCGAAGCACCUUGUGUGGCAUGGUGACAGGCUUGACUUCUCUGGUUUAUGAUUCGAACUUCAUCUAGAGAACCGGUUCCAUACGAUCUAUAGUUAGAGAAACAUAUGUAACAAUUGACAAAAAAAGAAAGUCCACACCGAAAUAUUCUUGGGGAAUUUUCAACCCAAGAUAAAAUGGCAAACAACGGGGAAGACCAAGUUGACUUGGCUGCAAGAGAAGCAACCCAAAGACUCACAAUUGCACGUGCAACAGUAGAAGCAACUCUAAGUGCUGAUGAGACUGUCGAUGGGGACGGAGAUCAAAGAAUCAAUCUUAAUCGAGCUUUGAUACAAGAUCUUUUAGAAUGUUGGACCAAGGCCUGAAAGAUCACUAGGAGACUAUGCCAGGCCAGUCAACAUCGACGACAGUCCAGUGUGAUACCCCCACCCAUUGAUGCAAAUAACUUUGAACUCAAGCAUGUGGUUAUCCAAACUAUUUAAAA